rnacentral:rRNA from 1 species
UACGUAGGGUGCGAGCGUUAAUCGGAAUUACUGGGCGUAAAGCGUGCGCAGGCGGUUAGGUAAGUUUGAUGUGAAAUCCCCGGGCUCAACCUGGGAACUGCAUUGAAGACUGCCUAACUAGAGUACGGCAGAGGGGGGUGGAAUUCCACGUGUAGCAGUGAAAUGCGUAGAGAUGUGGAGGAACACCGAUGGCGAAGGCAGCCCCCUGGGUCGAUACUGACGCUCAUGCACGAAAGCGUGGGGAGCAAACAGG